rnacentral:rRNA from 1 species
UACGGGGGGGAGCAAGCGUUGUUCGGAUUUACUGGGCGUAAAGGGCGCGUAGGCGGCGAUCCAAGUUAGGCGUGAAAGCCCCGGGCUUAACCUGGGAAUUGCGCUUAAGACUGGACUGCUUGAGUGCGGGAGAGGUGAGUGGAAUUCCCAGUGUAGAGGUGAAAUUCGUAGAUAUUGGGAAGAACACCAGUGGCGAAGGCGGCUCACUGGCCCGCAACUGACGCUGAGACGCGAAAGCGUGGG